AAGAAGGAAACAAAGCCUGAGCUGGGGCACGGAUAAAGCUGCAAAGUGGUCCGUUUCCCCUUCGCUGUUGUGAUUUUAAUUAAGACAAAGAGGCGAGGUGGGGAAAUAAUUGUUUUUGGAAGCGUUAUCCACAGCAACGUGCUCCAUGGAACUCGUGUGCGAGGCACCCCUGGGGUGGCUGCAGGAUGGAUCCUGCUUCAGGGUUAGAAUGAGUGUGGGAUGUGCCUGCUCAGUAGUUAAAAAAGAAAGUGUGACCAAAAGGCUUUUCUUUGCAAGUAUUGUAAUGCAUGGUCAAUGUGGUGGUUUGGUUUUGGGGUUUUAUUUUUUUUUUUGCUCUGCUGUAGGGUUGAAGGGCUGCUAAUGAAUUCUGCAGAAUGCACUGCUUCCCUCGCCCUGCCCUGCUGUGAGCAGAGGGAACAUCUGCACUUCAGGGUGACUUUAUACCCUCCCUUUCCUGCCUGUCCAUGCAUUAAAGUGAGCAAGUAUCCAGCACUGCCCCUGCUUCCAUCUGAAACCUUCAGCCCAGGGGUCACAAUGCCAGCACCCCCUCUGCAUGAGCUCCCCCCGUGCGUUCACUCGUGCCAUUCCUACAGUGCAGCCUCUCUCCGUGACCUCCUGCGAUGCUUCGGAUGGUUUCGACUUCUGUUGGAACGUUUCCCCUUGGGAAGCUUUCUUUCCCCUUUGACUUCUGCAGCAGUUGCCGUGGGGAGCGACGAUGUCACAGUGGGGAGGGCUGUGGGGAAGGGUGGGCUCCAUGGACAGCACCCAGCGAGCAGGCUUCUACCUGGCCAUGUGAGCAGCUCUUCCAUCUCACCAGAGGAACGAGUGAAUGUGAAGUUAAGCUCCGGUGUGGGGCUCUCUGGGAUGGACCUGUUUCCACCCUGAUCUGCUGUGGCUG
rnacentral:lncRNA from 1 species